CAUUACCGAGUACCGGGUCCUCUGGGCCCCUGCUCCCACCCUUUGUGUACCUACCUAUUUUUCGUUGCCUCGGCGGGGUCGAUCCCCAGGGCUGCCGGCCCUGUGGGGGACCCGCCGGGGGGACACGCCUAAACUCUUGUCAACCGUGACGUCUGAGAAAGAAAACAAACCAGUCAAAACUUUCAACAACGGAUCUCUUGGUUCUGGCAUCGAUGAAGAACGCAGCGAAAUGCGAUAAGUAAUGUGAAUUGCAGAAUUCAGUGAAUCAUCGAAUCUUUGAACGCACAUUGCGCCCUUUGGUAUUCCGAAGGGCAUGCCUGUUCGAGCGUCAUUUCAAACCUCAAGCUCACGCUUGGUCUUGGGCGCCGUCCGCGAGGGCGCGCCAGAAACCCGUAGGCAGUGGUGCCCGCCUCCCAGCGUAGUCAAUUCACCGCUUCGGAGCGCGUGGUGCCGCCCGCCAGGCGAACAACCACCUAUUUUACUAUGGUUUGACCUCGGAUCAGGUAGGGAUACCCGCUGAACUUAAGCAU
rnacentral:rRNA from 1 species